rnacentral:rRNA from 1 species
AGACCGAUAGCGAACAAGUACCGUGAGGGAAAGAUGAAAAGGACUUUGAAAAGAGGGUCAAAUAGUACGUGAAAUUGUUGAAAGGGAACCGUAUGAAAGUAGACUGGCUUGGUGAUGAUCAAUGUGUGUUUCGGCACGCAUGCACUCAUUGCCUUUGCCAGCCAGCGGCAGUUUUUGCUAAAGGAAGAAAAUCAGGGGAAUGUGGCUUCGAUUUCGGUUGAAGUGUUAUAGCUCCUGGUAAAAUACUUUGGCAGAGACUGAGGCUAGCAGUGGGUUUUUGGGAACUUUGCGCGCUUGUCGUCCAAUGGUCAAGUUUUCUUCGGAUGCUUGGCUAUUGGGUGGCAACUCGUGUGAUGCUUCACCCUCCCGCUUAGGUCGCUGGCGUAAUGCUUUUAUAUGACCCGUCUUGAAACACGGACCAAG